rnacentral:lncRNA from 1 species
AUUGGAAGGAAAAUUCUGUACAUAUAAAUUCCCUUAUUUAUUUGACUCAAUUUGUAGAUAAAUGUAUAGAAAUAGAUUAAGUUGGAAAUUUGAGGUAUUAACCAUUUGUCUCUUCAAUGUGUUUUAAGUAGUGUAUGAGGAAACACUGAGACAAAUGGAAGGGAAAAUAAGUGGUUUAAGAGUGAUGGGAACUAUCCUAAACCCUACAAAUUCAAGGUUUCUCGGUGAAGCUAGAAUGAAGUUCAAGGCUGAGACCUGCAGCCAAGCAGAUAUCGCCCGUUAUUUACUACCUAGGCUUCAAUAGCACUUGAUAAUAGGGUUUGGUCUUGCCAACUUUGACAUUUAUUUGGAUCCGCCUGGGAGAUCAGGAGCCCAUCACAGGCACCCCCCACCUGCCCCAGGAGCUUCGGCAGGAGAAUUGCGUGAACUGGGAGGCCGAGGUUGCAGUGAGCCGAGAUCACACCAUUGCACUCCAGCCUGGGCAACAAGAGCGAAACUUCGUCUCAAAAAAAAAAAAGAAAAAGAAAAAGAAAAGAAAACAGAAAACAGCAGCCUUGGACAAGCACAAUGGGCAGACUAGAAUUGCAGUGCACAGAUACAAGAAUGUUGCCUGCUUUGGAGCCAAGAUUGCCUUCCGGAUAAAGGGCCCACAGAGAGCUGAGAGCUGUGUAAUACCUCAAAGACUGAAGAAAAGAGUUAGACAGCCAUCUUUCCUUAGAGGAUUUUGCUGCAGAUAGCUUGAACUACCAGAAGGUUAUAUACUGACCAUGGGUAGAGAAAGGAAGAAAUACAUCCUUCGGAAAGGACAAUGAAGAUCUUUACAGCAGGGUGAGUAAACAGGCCAGUGUAAGUAGCUAAGCAAGAAGGCCACUUGCUAGGUGGUAUACAGUUGCUCAGUAUAUCACACACACACACACACACACACAAAUAUUAGUUACACCUCUGAGAUGGGAUUCAUAAACAUUUAAAAGUUUACACCAUGUUUAGAUAACACUGACCAUCAAACCCUUAAUAAUUUGUUUUGCUUUGCAGUCCCACAGGUCUAUGCCCAUCUAUUCAUUUUAGCAUCUGUUUUAUGUUUCAUAAUUACCUUUUAAAAUUUCUGUCUCCCCUUUGUGCUAUGAGGUCAUUUCAGCACUUAGGUGAGAAUCUGAAAUUGUAAAGAUAGUUCAAUUACAUUUUCGUUAUUAAUAUAGGCGGGGUAAAGUAAAAGUGCUGUAUUAGCUCAGAGGAGCAAAAAACAAUAUAAUCAAAUAGAUCUGUAGAUACCAGAAUUUUAAAAUUCUUCCUUCAGGAACUUUAAUGCCAUUUAAAAAUAUUUAUUGUGGAAUAUGUUAGACUUUGAGUCAUAGUGAUUUUUACCUCCUAACAUAAAGCUAAUUUUUACUGGAUUUCUUCUGAUAAUGAUGGUUAAGUGUGCAAGAGAUGGUAUCAGUCUAUUCAGCGUAUUAUUGAGAAUCCCCUCACUCUCCUUAAAUGAAUGGCUUAAGCAGCAGAUGUUCUAUACCCUAAAAGAUGCCAUGGCACGUCUCAGGUAAGAGCUGUCCUUGGAGUUGAAUGUUAUUUAUUACUAUGUAGGUACUAGAGAUUCAGAAACUUAAUGAUUUUUUUUCCUAACAGAAACUCCUUUUUCGCACUAUGAAUAAUUUACUGUUCUUUCUUCUUUGAACUCAACUGUAGAAUUGCGCAUAGACUAAUUUUUACUUUCGCUCCUUUCCCAGGUGAAAUUAAACAAAAAAUAUAGAAACUGAUCACUGAACUAAUGACUUUAGAUGAGUAUACUUUUAUGUAAAUUUUAAAAGAUUUGGUAAUUAAGAAUGAAUUUCAUUUCAACUUCAUUGUUCAUUUCCUCUUAAUUGUUACAACAAUUUAAUUCUAAACAUGAUAAAAUCACACCUUCCUGUUGCUACACCUGCAAGCUUUUUAAAGUUUGUUCAGAGUUUAGAUAGAUUAGGAAAUAAAGUGGAAAAUAACCAGGCAAAUAUUAUGUUUUAUUAAAAAAUUACAUUUCUGGCUGUGAAAUACUGAACUUAUUUAUACAUGAAAGAAGUUAUAUCAAUAUCAAAUUGAUAUAUUCAAAUGUCUGAUCCUGUCUUAAACAGGAAAACUACUUUGAAAGCAGCAAUAUUACCAACAAUGAAGGGAAAAAAUGUGUAGAAUCAUAU